rnacentral:rRNA from 1 species
GCCCGAUGAACCUGAAUAUCCGUUAUGGAAAAUUCAUCAUUAGAAUUUUAAUAUUUAAACAAUAUUAUAAUGAUAGUGUGCAUUUUUUCCAUAUAAGGACAUUGUAAUCUAUUAGUAUCAAUAAUUUAUCAAAAAGUUUUAGAUAAGAGCUUAUUUAAAUUAAAAUGCUUGCAUUUUAACAUAAAAUGAAUGUCAUAAAUUUGAUAAAGUGCUGAUAGAUUUAUAUGAAUACAGUGUGUUAAUUUUUCGAAAUUAUAUAAUGGCAUAAUUAUCAUUGAUUUUUGUGUUUAUUAUAAGCACUUGUAUGAUUAACAAUGCGAAAGAUUCAGGAUACUUCGGG